rnacentral:rRNA from 1 species
AUUGAACGCUAGCGGGAUGCCUUACACAUGCAAGUCGAACGAGUGGCGAACGGGUGAGUAAUGUAUCGGAACGUGCCCAGUAGCGGGGGAUAACUACGCGAAAGCGUAGCUAUACCGCAUACUCUUGGGGCGGGCGAUAUCGGAUUAGCUAAGAGGGGGGGUAACGGAUCACCUAGGCGACGAUCCCUAGCUGGUCUGAGAGGAUGACCAGCCACACUGGAACUGAGACACGGUCCAGACUCCUACGGGAGGCAACAGUGGGGAAUAUUGCACAAUGGGCGCAAGCCUGAUGCAGCCAUGCCGCGUGUAUGAAGAAGGCCUUCGGGUUGUAAAGUACUUUCAGCGAGGAGGCGUUACUCGCAGAAGAAGCACCGGCUAACUCCGUGCCAGCAGCCGCGGUAAUUC